GCUUUGUACAAAUAUACUAACAGUUCUGCUUCACCCUGUUUCCUCCCAUGCACGUCACUUGUUAGCAUGAUUUAUUUAUUAUAUUAAGUCUAGGAAAAAUAUUCAUUUGCUUAGGACUCAACUCAUAGGAACAGAAAGUGCCGAGGUAGGCGCUUGAUGGUUUGGCUGGCAGCUGGACUGCAUCUUCAUUGCAGGCUGUCAGGAACUGGCGUGUGACUCCACUUAGCGUGACGGGGAACCUCACACCCACAGCUCCUGGUGCUGAGAGACUUUGCAUGCUGAGCGUGUCUGUCACUGAGCUUUUCUCACCUUGAGGAAGAUUGGAGCCAAGUGCUCUGGGAUGCCUUUGUGUGCCAUCGACUGAUGCAGGGCUCAUAAAGGAUUGUUGGCAUUACCACAGGGAGCUGCUAACAGAAGGAAACCAACGUGUGUGCAUGCGUGCAAGUACGUGCAAGGACUCUGCACUACAUGGCACAAGGCUCAUGAUUCAUCCGAGAAGCACUACACAGAAUUAGAUUCCCAAGGGAGCAGAGGAAGGCAUUUUAUUUCACAAGGA
rnacentral:lncRNA from 1 species